rnacentral:rRNA from 1 species
CCUACGGGAGGCUGCAGUGGGGAAUAUUGCACAAUGGGCGCAAGCCUGAUGCAGCCAUGCCGCGUGUGUGAAGAAGGCCUUCGGGUUGUAAAGCACUUUCAGCGGGGAGGAAGGCGGUGAGGUUAAUAACCUCAUCGAUUGACGUUACCCGCAGAAGAAGCACCGGCUAACUCCGUGCCAGCAGCCGCGGUAAUACGGAGGGUGCAAGCGUUAAUCGGAAUUACUGGGCGUAAAGCGCACGCAGGCGGUCUGUCAAGUCGGAUGUGAAAUCCCCGGGCUCAACCUGGGAACUGCAUUCGAAACUGGCAGGCUAGGGUCUUGUAGAGGGGGGUAGAAUUCCAGGUGUAGCGGUGAAAUGCGUAGAGAUCUGGAGGAAUACCGGUGGCGAAGGCGGCCCCCUGGACAAAGACUGACGCUCAGGUGCGAAAGCGUGGGGAGCAAACAGGAUUAGAUACCCGUGUAGUC